UACGAAGGUGGCAAGCGUUGUUCGGAUUUACUGGGCGUACAGGGAGCGUAGGCGGUUGGGUAAGCCCUCCGUGAAAUCUCCAGGCUUAACCUGGAAAGUGCAGAGGGGACUGCUUAGCUAGAGGAUGGGAGAGGAGCGCGGAAUUCCCGGUGUAGCGGUGAAAUGCGUAGAGAUCGGGAGGAAGGCCGGUGGCGAAGGCGGCGCUCUGGAACAUUUCUGACGCUGAGGCUCGAAAGCGUGGGGAGCAAACAGG
rnacentral:rRNA from 1 species